rnacentral:piRNA from 1 species
CAGAUUUCUGGACCGUGUGCCUAUAAUCAAC